GAGUUUGAUCGUGGCUCAGAUUGAACGCUGGCGGCAUGCCUUACACAUGCAAGUCGAACGGCAGCACGGGAGCUUGCUCCUGGUGGCGAGUGGCGAACGGGUGAGUAAUGCAUCGGAACGUAUCCUGGAGUGGGGGAUAACGUAGCGAAAGUUACGCUAAUACCGCAUAUUCUGUGAGCAGGAAAGCGGGGGACCUUCGGGCCUCGCGCUCUUGGAGCGGCCGAUGUCGGAUUAGCUAGUUGGUGAGGUAAAGGCUCACCAAGGCGACGAUCCGUAGCAGGUCUGAGAGGAUGAUCUGCCACACUGGAACUGAGACACGGUCCAGACUCCUACGGGAGGCAGCAGUGGGGAAUUUUGGACAAUGGGGGCAACCCUGAUCCAGCCAUGCCGCGUGAGUGAGGAAGGCCUCGG
rnacentral:rRNA from 1 species